UACGAAGGGGGCUAGCGUUGUUCGGAAUUACUGGGCGUAAAGCGCGCGCAGGCGGCGGUGCUGGCCCGGCGUGAAAGCCCCCGGCUCAACCGGGGAGAGUCGUCGGGGACCGCACCGCUUGAGGGCGGUAGGGGCUGGUGGAAUGCCUGGUGUAGUGGUGAAAUGCGUAGAGAUCAGGCAGAACACCUGGGGCGAAGGCGGCCAGCUGGGCCGUCCCUGACGCUGAGGCGCGAAGGCGUGGGGAGCGAACGGG
rnacentral:rRNA from 1 species